CGCCAUUUUGUACCACACUACAGGAUGUGUUGGCUGGAUGUGAUAAAUAGAUGAAUGUUAACGCAGCCAUUUUUUUCUUCUUCUUCUCCCAACUCAAUGCGCUCGAGCUAUUAAAAUUUACAAGUGACAUUGCAGACAUCUAUCCUUGUUACUGGUCGAUAAGGAUUCAUGGGUUUGCCUCGGUCGAGCGUAACGAGAAUAACAAGCUAAACGCGUCAACUUGACGGCUUCGUCUGCUUAGCAUCAUUAUCGUCAACAUUCCCCAAUUCUCUUCGCUUCUGGAACGUAGGUUAAAAAGGGCAAGGUGAUGAAUGAGAAUGUCACCUGAAGAAGAGCAACAACGAUACGAGUGGCGCCACUUUGAACGGCGAUGGUCGAAAUGGUCGUCGUAGCUGGCGUCUGAGAUGACAGGACGGAGCCGGAUGACCUCUGCUGCCGCUGGAGCAAAUGCGCUAAAGGCGGGAUGUCGGCUUCGGCCAUGUCAAAUUCGUUUUCUCUUCACAGUUCGUUAUAUGGGUUGCACGGCUGAUUACGAUUUAUCCGCAAAAAAAAAUAGAACGAACCACACCCAGCGUGAUAUUUCCGUCCGGGGUACUCACGCACGCCAAGAAGAGAGAGGCGAAGGGUAAGGAGGAGGCCAAGUUUAAAUUAUAAUAUUUUAUUUUUUUUUUUUA